rnacentral:rRNA from 1 species
AUGCAAGUCGAACGAUGAUCCGGUGCUUGCAUCGGGGAUUAGUGGCGAACGGGUGAGUAACACGUGAGUAACCUGCCCUUAACUCUGGGAUAAGCCUGGGAAACUGGGUCUAAUACCGGAUAUGACUCCUCAUCGCAUGGUGGGGGGUGGAAAGCUUUAUUGUGGUUUUGGAUGGACUCGCGGCCUAUCAGCUUGUUGGUGAGGUAAUGGCUCACCAAGGCGACGACGGGUAGCCGGCCUGAGAGGGUGACCGGCCACACUGGGACUGAGACACGGCCCAGACUCCUACGGGAGGCAGCAGUGGGGAAUAUUUCACGAGGGGCGCAAGCCUGAUGCACGCGACCUUCCGCGUGACCGCGGAGGGAGACGGCCUUCGGGUUGUAAACCUCUUUCGUAGGGAAGAAGCGAAAGUGAACGGUACCUGCAGAAGAAGCGCCCUUUAAAGUACGUGCCAGCAGCCGCGGUAAUACGUAGGGCGCAAGCGUUAUCCGGAAUUAUUGGGCGUAAAGAGCUCGUAGGCGGUUUGUCGCGUCUGCUGUGAAAGACCGGGGCUCAACUCCGGUUUUUUGCAGUGGGUACGGGCAGACUUAGAGUGAUGUAGGGGAGACUGGAAUUCCCUGGUGUAGCGGUGAAAUGCGCAGAUAUCAGGAGGAACACCGAUGGGCCGAAGCAGGUCUCUGGGCAUUAACUGACGCUGAGGAGCGAAAGCAUGGGGAGCGAACAGGAUUAGAUACCCUGGUAGUCCAUGCCGUAAACGUUGGGCACUAGGUGUGGGGGACAUUCCACGUUUUCCGCGCCGUAGCUAACGCAUUAAGUGCCCCGCCUGGGGAGUACGGCCGCAAGGCUAAAACUCAAAGGAAUUGACGGGGGCCCGCACAAGCGGCGGAGCAUGCGGAUUAAUUCGAUGCAACGCGAAGAACCUUACCAAGGCUUGACAUGGACCGGACCGGGCUGGAAACAGUCCUUCCCCUUUGGGGCCGGUUCACAGGUGGUGCAUGGUUGUCGUCAGCUCGUGUCGUGAGAUGUUGGGUUAAGUCCCGCAACGAGCGCAACCCUCGUUCUAUGUUGCCAGCACGUGAUGGUGGGGACUCAUAGGAGACUGCCGGGGUCAACUCGGAGGAAGGUGGGGACGACGUCAAAUCAUCAUGCCCCUUAUGUCUUGGGCUUCACGCAUGCUACAAUGGCCGGUACAAAGGGUUGCGAUACUGUGAGGUGGAGCUAAUCCCAAAAAGCCGGUCUCAGUUCGGAUUGGGGUCUGCAACUCGACCCCAUGAAGUCGGAGUCGCUAGUAAUCGCAGAUCAGCAACGCUGCGGUGAAUACGUUCCCGGGCCUUGUACACACCGCCCGUCAAGUCACGAAAGUU